AUUGAACGCUGGCGGCAGGCCUAACACAUGCAAGUCGAACGAGUGGCGGACGGGUGAGUAAUGUCUGGGAAACUGCCUUAUGGAGGGGGAUAACUACUGAAAACGUUAGCUAAUACCGCAUACCAUCAGAUGUGCCCAGAUGGGAUUAGCUAGUUGGUGGGGUAAAGGCUAACCAAGGCGACGAUCCCUAGCUGGUCUGAGAGGAUGACCAGCCACACUGGAACUGAGACACGGUCCAGACUCCUACGGGAGGCAGCAGUGGGGAAUAUUGCACAAGGGGCGCAAGCCUGAUACAGCCAUGCCGCGUGUGUGAAGAAGGCCGUCGGGUUGUAAAGUACUUUCAGCGGGGAGGCGUUACCCGAAGAAGAAGCACCGGCUAACUCCGUGCCAGCAGCCGCGGUAAUUC
rnacentral:rRNA from 1 species